rnacentral:rRNA from 1 species
GACGAACGCUGGCGGCGUGCUUAACACAUGCAAGUCGAACGGAAAGGCCCUGCUUUUGUGGGGUGCUCGAGUGGCGAACGGGUGAGUAACACGUGAGUAACCUGCCCUUGACUUUGGGAUAACUUCAGGAAACUGGGGCUAAUACCGGAUAGGAGCUCCUGCUGCAUGGUGGGGGUUGGAAAGUUUCGGCGGUUGGGGAUGGACUCGCGGCUUAUCAGCUUGUUGGUGGGGUAGUGGCUUACCAAGGCUUUGACGGGUAGCCGGCCUGAGAGGGUGACCGGCCACAUUGGGACUGAGAUACGGCCCAGACUCCUACGGGAGGCAGCAGGGGGGAAUAAUGCACAAUGGGCGGAAGCCUGAAGCAGCAACGCCGCGUGCGGGAUGACGGCCUUCGGGUUGUAAACCGCUUUCGCCUGUGACGAAGCGUGAGUGACGGUAAUGGGUAAAGAAGCACCGGCUAACUACGUG